AUGGUCUCCUAUUGCCACGUCAUCCCAGGCGCUCGUUCGGGUUGGAGGCGAUUUCACACGAUCGAUUUUUUUCUCGCCCCAGGUACCUUAUCCUUUUCCCCCGAGCACUACCUCACCUACUCGGUCUCACAUUAUCAUUCCGGCGAUUACAACGGCGAGUCCUUCUGCCGAUUCGAGGGGCAGCGGGUGGCGCACGAGUGCAGCGGCGAGGAUGCAGGACGGCUGCGUCCAUGCGAUAGGGCGACGCCCACCGGGCACCACGCUGCGGCCCUGCGGGAGGAGGCGGCGACGAGGAUGCGGCCCGCGGGAGGGAGGCGGUGGCCGGCAGAAGCUAUUCCGACGACUUGGGAGCUCCUCCUGCACGGCCAGGACGGCGCCCGGCACCACGCGCGAGCAAGCCGCGUCCGGGAGUGCGAGCAGCGUGGCGCUCAUGGUCGCGCCCGCCACCCACAUCCUGGCGCCGCGGCGUUGUCAGCGGGGGCCCGUUCGCGGCAUUGCUUUGCCGGGUCGCGCGAGUGCGGCGAUGAUGAUGGAGAGGGCUGCAUUGGGCGGCCACGGAGCUGGUAG
rnacentral:rRNA from 1 species